ACCAGCUGGUUUCUCCUCCCAUGAUUACAAUCUUCUAUGAAGAGAGAAAUGGUUUGUUGAAGAUAUGCACACCUAAACCUAUCUGGAUAAAAAUUGCCUGAAUUUCAAGGUGCCUUUUCUCCAAAGCGAAGAGUCCCAGCCUUUCUUAUCUCCUCCUGUAAGGCUGCAGAUCCAUCUGCCUGUGCCUCCCCAGCUCCACCGGGUCCUCUGCUGAUUUGGAUACAUGAGAGCUUUCAGUCACUCUCGAGAUGGAAUCGUGCUGCUUUUUUAAGUCCUGC
ensembl:lncRNA